rnacentral:rRNA from 1 species
ACCGGGGAUUGCCUUAGUAACGGCGAGUGAAGCGGCAAAAGCUCAAAUUUGAAAUCUGGUACCUUCGGUGCCCGAGUUGUAAUUUGGAGAGGGCAACUUUGGGGCCGUUCCUUGUCUAUGUUCCUUGGAACAGGACGUCAUAGAGGGUGAGAAUCCCGUGUGGCGAGGAGUGCGGUUCUUUGUAAAGUGCCUUCGAAGAGUCGAGUUGUUUGGGAAUGCAGCUCUAAGUGGGUGGUAAAUUCCAUCUAAAGCUAAAUAUUGGCGAGAGACCGAUAGCGAACAAGUACAGUGAUGGAAAGAUGAAAAGAACUUUGAAAAGAGAGUGAAAAAGUACGUGAAAUUGUUGAAAGGGAAGGGCAUUUGAUCAGACAUGGUGUUUUGUGCCCUCUGCUCCUUGUGGGUAGGGGAAUCUCGCAUUUCACUGGGCCAGCAUCAGUUUUGGUGGCAGGAUAAAUCCAUAGGAAUGUAGCUUGCCUCGGUAAGUAUUAUAGCCUGUGGGAAUACUGCCAGCUGGGACUGAGGACUGCGACGUAAGUCAAGGAUGCUGGCAUAAUGGUUAUAUGCCGCCCGUCUUGAACCCCCGAACC